rnacentral:rRNA from 1 species
GACGAACGCUGGCGGCGUGCUUAACACAUGCAAGUCGAACGGAAAGGCCCUGCUUUUGCUGGGUGCUCGAGUGGCGAACGGGUGAGUAACACGUGAGUAACCUGCCCUUGACUUUGGGAUAACUUCAGGAAACUGGGGCGAAUACCGGAGAGGAGCUCCUGCUGCAUGGUGGGGGUUGGAAAGUUUCGGCGGUUGGGGAUGGACUCGCGGCUUAUCAGCUGGUUGGUGGGGUAGUGGCUUACCAAGGCUUUGACGGGUAGCCGGCCUGAGAGGGUGACCGGCCACAUUGGGACUGAGAUACGGCCCAGACUCCUACGGGAGGCAGCAGUGGGAAAUAUUGCACAAUGGGCGGAAGCCUGAUGCAGCAACGCCGCGUGCGGGAUGACGGCCUUCGGGUUGUAAACCGCUUUCGCCUGUGACGAAGCGUGAGUGACGGUAAUGGGUAAAGAAGCACCGGCUAACUACGUG